rnacentral:rRNA from 1 species
UACGUAGGGGGCAAGCGUUGUCCGGAUUUAUUGGGCGUAAAGAGCGUGUAGGCGGCUGGGUAGGUCCGUUGUGAAAACUCGAGGCUCAACCUCGAGACGCCGAUGGAAACCCUCCAGCUAGAGUCCGGAAGAGGAGAGUGGAAUUCCUGGUGUAGCGGUGAAAUGCGCAGAUAUCAGGAAGAACACCCGUGGCUAAGGCGGCUCUCUGGGCCUGUCCUGACGCUGAGGCGCGAAAGCUAGGGGAGCGAACAGG